GGCCCGGUAGCGGAUGGUCCGCACUUGCUCUUCAUUGAGAAGAUGUUUGUUGAAAUCUGCAAGAGUCGCUCGUUCGACUGGAGUCCGGGCCA